GUGUUCACUUCAGCAGCAAAUAUACUAAAGUUGGAACAAUACAGAGAAAAUUAGCAUAGCCCUGCACAAGAAUGACACACAAAUUCAUAAAGCAUUCCAUAUUUUU